UCACUUUGCGGCGGUGCGGCCGCCCCCGGUGGCCCGGCUUCGGCGGGGAUGGCUUGUUUAGGCCUUACAUUAUCCGUGGUGAGCGGCUCGCGCGCCAACCCUGGAUUUUUUCCCUCAGUAUAUACGGGGAAAAAGCCGGGGGGAGGCAGGCAGCGCUGCCCGGGGUGGGAGAGGCCUCGGCUGUACCCGUUCGUACCCGGAGGUGUACCCCCGGCUGUGGAGACCCCCUUGGCCUGCGGAGCCGCUCCUAGCCCCGGCGGUGCCGGGAGGAGGGGGCCCGGUGACCCUCGGGCCCUGACAGGGUCGUUACAAUUCCAUGGAAUUGCUUUUAAACAGGUCUGCUGGCACUGGGGAAGCUGGAUGAACACGGCCGGGUGGGGAGGAAGCUCUACUUCACGUCCACGCUCUGCAGCGCUGGUGACGGCGGGCGAGCCGGUUUGCUCUGCUGCUUCUGUCCACAGGCACACGUGCUCCUCCAAGCAAACUCAUUCCUAAACAAACAGGUUUGUAACUUAAUGUUCUUUCUUCAUUCGGCUGCCUGGCUUUGAUCAGCCUGUUAUUUCCAUCGCCUUCGGUGAGACUGCUCCCGUUUGAGUGUCUUGUUGAAUCAAGGCCUAAAUAUUUGUAAAACCUGCAUCAGCAAAGCAGGCAGCUGCUCUGGGCUAAUCUUACCCAGCAAGCCCCACGGCGUGCUUAACCUUAAGCCACUCUUCAGACCUAUCAAUGUUAAUCUUAAGUGCUGUGCUGAUUUGGAGCACUGUAAUUUUCCAGAGGACGUGGCCGCUGCUCCUUCGGACACCAAAACUAGCCUGAGAACGGGAUGGGAGAUGCAGGAAAGAUCCUCAGUCCAGCAGCUGGGAGGGGUUGGCUGAGCCAGGGGCUGUGUCCCCAGUGUCACAGCAGGCAGCUGCUGCUGCAGACUGUUUCUGGAGGAGGCUGAAGGUGCUGCAGACAGUGGGUACAGGGAGGGAGGGGAGCUUCCCCUGGCUGCCUCGCCAUCCCUCUCUGCUGGGGUUGCAUCAGAGGUCUCGCUCCCAGCGAGCACGCUGGCUUUCAUAACAAUAAAUUUUAACUUGGCACUUCUGUAGCA
rnacentral:lncRNA from 1 species